UACGAGGGGCCCAAGCGUUAUUCGGAAUCACUGGGCUUAAAGAGUUCGUAGGCGGCGCGGAAAGUGGGGUGUGAAAGCCCUCGGCUCAACCGAGGAAUUGCGCUCCAAACUGCCGUGCUUGAGGAGGCUAGAGGUAAGCAGAACUGAUGGUGGAGCGGUGAAAUGCGUUGAUAUCAUCAGGAAUACCGGAGGCGAAGGCGGCUUACUGGGACCUUUCUGACGCUGAGGAACGAAAGCUAGGGGAGCAAACGGG
rnacentral:rRNA from 1 species